UGGGUCAGUGAUGAGACUGUGUCAUGAACCAAGUAUUGUGAUUGCCCCCGUUCUCUAUAAAAUAAAGUCAGUUCUUUG
ensembl:snoRNA